UACGGAGGGAGCUAUCGUUGUUCGGAAUUACUGGGCGUAAAGCGCACGUAGGCGGCUUUGUAAGUUAGAGGUGAAAGCCCGGGGCUCAACCCCGGAAUUGCCUUUAAGACUGCAUCGCUUGAAUCCGGGAGAGGUGAGUGGAAUUCCGAGUGUAGAGGUGAAAUUCGUAGAUAUUCGGAAGAACACCAGUGGCGAAGGCGGCUCACUGGACCGGUAUUGACGCUGAGGUGCGAAAGCGUGGGGAGCAAACAGG
rnacentral:rRNA from 1 species